rnacentral:rRNA from 1 species
GAUGAACGCUGGCGGCGUGCUUAACACAUGCAAGUCGAACGAAGCACUUUAUUUGAUUUCCUUCGGGACUGAUUAUUUUGUGACUGAGUGGCGGACGGGUGAGUAACGCGUGGGCAACCUGCCUUGUACAGGGGGAUAACAGUUGGAAACGGCUGCUAAUACCGCAUAAGCGCACAGCAUCGCAUGAUGCAGUGUGAGAAACUCCGGUGGUAUAAGAUGGACCCGCGUUGGAUUAGCUAGUUGGUGAGGUAACGGCCCACCAAGGCGACGAUCCAUAGCCGACCUGAGAGGGUGACCGGCCACAUUGGGACUGAGACACGGCCCAAACUCCUACGGGAGGCAGCAGUGGGGAAUAUUGCACAAUGGGCGAAAGCCUGAUGCAGCGACGCCGCGUGAGCGAAGAAGUAUUUCGGUAUGUAAAGCUCUAUCAGCAGGGAAGAUAAUGACGGUACCUGACUAAGAAGCACCGGCUAAAUACGUGCCAGCCGCCGCCGUAACAC